AGGGACACACAGAGGUUUGGGGUGUUUCAGGAGAUUUGGGGGCACAACCCUGGGCACACACACAGAGAUUCAGGGUGUUUAUUUGGUGUUUUGGGGGGCACAGCCCCAGAGGAUUGAGGCGUUUCAGGAGGAUUUAGGGUGUUUGUGGGCACAGCCCUGGGCAUACACACAGAGGCUCGGGCUGUUUUUUGGGAGACUUUUGGUGGGCACAGCCCUGGGCCCACAAAGAGAGGUUCAGGGUGAUUUAGGGGAUUUUUGGGCAUAGCCUCGGGCACACGCACAGAGGCUUGUGCUGUUUCUUGGGGGGUUUUUGGGGAGCACAGCCCUGGGCACAUACACAGAUGCUCAGGCUGUUUUUUGGGGGCACAGUUCUGGGUACAAAUAGAGAGGUUCAGGGUGAUUCAGGGAAUUCAAACUUACAGAGGCUCAGGCUGUUCCUUGGGGCGCUUUGGGGCUGUGUGUGAGCUGUUCUUCGGGCUGUUCCUCGGGGUGUUUUGGAGCUCUGUGUGGGCUGUUCCUGGGGCUGUUCCUCGGGGUGUUUUGGAGCUCUGUGUGGGCUGUUCCUGGGGCUGUUCCUCGGGGGGUUUCGGGGCUGGUUGGGGCUCAUGGCGGCGCUGUCCGGCGCAGGCGGGUCGCGAUGGUGAAGCUGUUCAUCGGGAACCUGCCGCGGGAGGCGACGGAGCAGGAGAUCCGCUCCCUGUUCGAGCAGUACGGCAAGGUGCUGGAGUGCGACAUCAUCAAGAACUACGGCUUCGUGCACAUCGAGGACAAGACGGCGGCCGAGGACGCCAUCCGCAACCUGCACCACCACAAGCUGCACGGCGUCUGCAUCAACGUGGAGGCCAGCAAGAACAAGAGCAAGGCCUCCACCAAGCUGCACGUCGGCAACAUCAGCCCAGCCUGCACCAACCUCGAGCUGCGCGCCAAGUUCGAGGAGUACGGCCCCGUCAUAGAAUGUGACAUCGUCAAGGACUACGCCUUCGUGCACAUGGAGCGGGCCGAGGACGCCGUGGAGGCCAUCCGGGGGCUGGACAACACCGAGUUCCAAGGCAAGCGGAUGCGCGUGCAGCUGUCCACCAGCCGGCUGCGGACGGCGCCCGGGAUGGGAGACAAGAGCGGCUGCUACCGCUGCGGGAAGGAGGGGCACUGGUCUAAGGAGUGCCCGGUCGAUCGCCCGGGGCAAGUGGCGGACUUUGCCGAGGCCUAUAACGAGCAGUACGGAGCCGUGCGCACUCCCUACACCGCGGGCUAUGGGGAGACCGUGUAUUACGAUGAGGCCUACGGCGGGAUGGCCGACUACUACAAGCGCUACCGCGUCCGCUCCUACGCCACGGCCUCGGCGUACGACGCCUACGCGGAGCAGACCAUGGCCCAGUACUCCCAGUACGCCCAGUACUCCCAAGUCCAGUCCUCGGCCAUGGCCGCCACCACGGCCAUGGCCGGCCGCAUCCCCACCACCUUAGACGCGUACGACCGAGCGCUGCUGCCCACCCCGGGCGCGGCGGCCGCCGUCGCUGCCGCCGCCGCCACCGCCGCGGCCGCCGCCGCGUCCUCCACGUAUUACACCCGGGACAGGAGCCCCCUGCGCCGCACGGCCGCCGCGGCCAGCACCGUCGGAGAGGCGUACACGUACGAGCGUGGGCAGCUGUCGCCCGUCUCCUCGGUGGCCCGGGCGUCCCUCUACGACAUGCAGCGCUUCGGGCGGGACCCGUACGCGGACCGGGCGCGAUACUCCGCCUUUUGAGCCGGAGGUAAGAUUUGUGCGGCUGGACGUCGGGGUCCCGUCGCACGCCAACUCGGCGCCGCGCGUCUCGGGCCGCGCCGGGUGCCACCGCCGCCGCGUGCCGCUCCCGGGCCCGUUCCUUACGGACGCGCGGCUCGUCCUCAGCCCGGGCAGGAUUAGCUCAGCCCCUCCCCCAGCUUCCCCCGCCCCCCUGGGCAGGAUUUUGCUUUUCCAGGUAGUUUUGGGUCCCCACCCCAGGCUCAGGUGUGAGCGCGCAGCCGCAGCCGUCCCCCAGCGCCAGCUUUGCUUUGCUUCGCCGCCCCCUCGCUCCCCCGGAGCUCUUCCCGAGUCGUCGUUUUGCCUUUUUUUUUUCCUUUAUUUUUUAAGAGGGUGGAUAAUCCAGUGGUAGGUUUUUAGCCCAACGCUGUAGCUGACCGGAGGCCGCCGCGCCGCGCCGGCGGGGGUGGAACCCCCCGAGUGAUUUAGAGUCCCCCGACCCCACUUUCCGGUAAAAUAAAACUCAAAAUUUUUAACAAA